rfam:Leptotrichia sp. oral taxon 215 str. W9775 genomic scaffold Scaffold110, whole genome shotgun sequence.
UUGUAAAGAUAUGUUUGGCUGUAGGGCUUAUUCCUUAGGUUUUUUAUGUAAGGGCAUAUUGAAGAA